UGAGAUUUGUAUAUAUUAGCUCCUAAUAAUCAGAUUACAUGGACACUGGCCAUUGCAGUCAAUCAAACCACUUCUGAUCCAGAAACUGAAAAAGCUUUAUAGCGUGGGAAAGGUAGCAUGCAACCUCAACCCCACUCAGCCUCAGCCCACAUCUCUGCUGUCUCUUCCUGGGGAAUAUUCAGUAUCAGCAUGUACGUAUGGGCCAGUCUGAUGAGUGACACUGAAAAAUAGACCUGGGAGACUCCCAUUGUCUUCUAAUCGUUUUCUUUCAUGUCAUGGAUUGAUAUAAUUAGAUAACAAAAUUAAUAAAAUAAUGUCUUUACUCUUAUUUUGCCCACAUAAUUCCAAACAAGCAUAAGAAUCUCAUUCAUUCUUUGCUGAGCAGUCCAGUUUUAACUGGUGAAUGAAAUUUUCUUCUUGUUUUGUGUUUCAGCUACAAUGCUACCUUUCCAGUAUUUUUUAACUUUCCAAAAAUUAACUUCAUUUCAGUGGACACACAUAUAUAUUUUUUUUAAUUUCAGGUUGUUCCUCUCCCUACCCCUCAGCCCAGCAUUUGUAAGUCUCGUUAGAGUUUCUCACUGGAGCUGGAGACCCACGCAAAUCACGACCAAAAGAAAGAAAAAUAAAUCAACCUACACUUGAACCCUAGGGGAUCUGAAAUUAAGUGCUAUAAAUCUGUGUCAUUUGACAGCUGUCAAAGUCAAGAAAAGGAAAUGUGUUCAAAGUAGAAAACACACAGUUGAUGAACUCGUCGUUAAGAGCUGGGUUUCCCUGGAGCUAGAGGACAUCUGGAUUCUGGAUCUAGCAGCAGGCAGUAGCCGAGGCUUCCCACAGCUGAGAAGGUGCACGCAGCAAUGGCCCUCCCCUUCCGCUGUAAUUAUGUGAUUUUACGGCUUGAGGUCUGGCAAAGGAGGCUUGUGCACCCAAAAACACUCACACUCACUAAGCAUCGAAAUGCGCCCUUUGGAAGUGUCAGCCUGUCUUGGCUGGAAGAAAGUCUGGGGUCAGUUCUGUAUUCAGGGAGCAGGCUUGCUGCCGGGUGCCUGGGUGAUGCCAACAGGACACGGCAAGGGCGCGGGAGCUGCCAGCUUGGGAAGCUGGAAGAGAAGGGAAGCGAGUCGAAGCAUCUUUAUGCAAACCACACAGCGCUAAUAGAAACAGACUCAGCAGGCACAUCAUGCUCCACGGGCUGCAUGAGUGCCAGGAGAGGAGUCCUUCUCAGUCCGCAAUUGUUCCUACUUAACAUGGCAGCCCAAGCCAGACAUAAUUAG
rnacentral:lncRNA from 1 species